AUUGAACGCUGGCGGCAUGCCUUACACAUGCAAGUCGAACGGCAGCACGGGAGCUUGCUCCUGGUGGCGAGUGGCGAACGGGUGAGUAAUACAUCGGAACGUACCCAGUAGUGGGGGAUAACGCACCGAAAGGUGCGCUAAUACCGCAUACGACCUACGGGUGAAAGCGGGGGACCGUAAGGCCUCGCGCUAUUGGAGCGGCCGAUGUCUGAUUAGCUAGUUGGUGAGGUAAAGGCUCACCAAGGCUUCGAUCAGUAGCUGGUCUGAGAGGACGAUCAGCCACACUGGGACUGAGACAAGGCCCAGACUCCUACGGGAGGCAGCAGUGGGGAAUUUCGGACAAUGGGCGAAAGCCUGAUCCAGCAAUGCCGCGUGUGCGAAGAAGGCCUUCGGGUUGUAAAGCACUUUUGUCAGGGAAGAAAUCUUUUAGGCUAAUACCCUGGAAGGAUGACGGUACCUGAAGAAUAAGCACCGGCUAACUACGUGCCAGCCGCCGCCGUAA
rnacentral:rRNA from 1 species